rnacentral:lncRNA from 1 species
CAUGGCUGUUAUAAUUUAAGUGCAUAGUGCAGAUGGGGCCCGAGAAUCCAUGCUACUCUUCUUAUUGAGCUGUUAGAUCCGCAUUCGUGUUUAAUCUGAGAAGGACUUCAAGUGUGCACUAAACAGAAGGAACUAUGCAACGUUUAAUCAUGUCUUCUUUGCAAUUUAAGCCAGAGUCCUUGCAGAAGGGGAGAGUGGUAAGGACAAGCUUCAGGCUCCUUUCCACCCUACCUUUCCCCCAAGGCUGUGUGUCAGUGUGUUUUGACAGGAACAGAGGGGAGAUCUGGGAGACUAGGGGUAAGAAUACAGUUCUGUUCACCUCACCUCCAAAAGGAUACUGUAGAGUUGGAAAACGUUCAGAAAAGGGCAAGGAAAAUCAUCUGCCCUAUGAGGAAAUGGGACUUUUUUGUUUAAAGGAAAGGUGAGUAAGACAUUAUUAUUAUUAUUAUUAUUGUAUAGUCGUUUAGUCGUGUCUGACUCUUCAUGACCCCAUGGACCAGAGCACGCCAGGCACUCCUGUCUUCCACUGCCUCCCACAGUUUGGUCAGACUCAUGUUUGUAGUUUCGAGAACACUGUCCAACCAAGAACACUGUCCAACCCCUUCAUGGAUCACUGCCUUGCCGUGGCGAAGGGGCUUGAAUAACUCAGAGAAGCUAUGAGCUAUGCUGUGCAGGGCCACCCAAGAUGGACAGGUCAUAGUGGAGAGUUUUGGCCAAACGUGAUCCACCUGGAGCAGGAACCGGCAAGCCACUCCAGUAUCCCUGCCAAGAAAACUCCAUGGACAAAGGCAACAGGCAUAUAAAAGACAUGAUAGAAGUGUAUAAAACAGGCUUCUUCAACCUCAGCCCUCCAGAUGUUUUGAGACUACAAUUCCCAUCAUCCCUGACCACUGGUCCUGCUAGCUAGGGACCAUGGGAGUUGUAGGCCAAAAACAUCUGGAGGGCCAAGGUUGAGGAAGCCUGGUAUAAAAUGAUAUAUGGCAUGGAGAAACUGGAUAGAGAAAUGGAAGAUUGCAGACAAAUCCCCAGGGGGCAGUAAUGGCCACCAACUUGGAUGGCUUUAAAAGAGGAUUGGGCAAAUUCCUGGAGAAUAAGGCUAUCGAUGGCUACUGGCCACAAUGACUAUGCUCUGCUUCUGAAUGUCAAUUGCUGGAAGCCACAGGAGGGGAGAGUGCGGGCAAUUGUUUGGCCACUGUGAGAAAGCCACUUCCGCCCUGCAGAGGAGGUGGGAUUGCAGGAGUCACGGCCCCACCACCUGCGCAGAGGCUGGAGCCCAGCCCCCGCGCGAUUGGGGGAAUCCCUGGCCAUGUCACCCCCCCUAGCCAGCCAAUCAGCUGGCUUUGGGGGCGUGGCCCACACGAUUUAAAUGCAGGCACGGCUGGGGAUCUCCCUCUUUUCCCGCAUACCAGCUGUUCCUGUUUCCCCCCCUCCCGCCUUUAAGCUUUCCGUUCCUUGAACUUGCUAUGGACCUCGGUUGGUCGCCGUUGAGGGGCCUGGUAGGAAUUUUCCCACUUGGCAAAUUGGCACCAGCCACUUGGUUUUCGCCUACCUCGUAGCAAAUCGUCACAACUUUCUUAGUAUUGGCGGUGAGACAUUGGUAUUGGUAUUGUUUUGUAGAAUGAAGAGGGGAGGAAGCACCAUCACCUGCCCCACAUAUUGAAGGGUAGUCCUAUAAAGGAUUCCGGGGGGCGUGGCCCUGUUCGAAGCCUGCAGAGGUGAGGGCCUAAGGCACGCCCCCGAGCAGUGACCCCGGGGGAGUUCCUAGUUGAUGUGCAUCAGCAUGACUCCCCCUACUGGUGGUUAACCCUUCCCAGACUUCAAGCAAACAGGCUGAAGCCGGAUAGUCUGUUAGGACCAAUGCCUAAGCCAAUACUGCUCAUCACCUGUAACCAAUAAAAGUUGUGGCCAUAUUUAGCCCAUUAAGUAAUUGUGUCAUGUGUCUUUAUUUCCACUGGGGGAAGACAGGAACUCACCAUGCAAUAAGAUGCUGGAAUAGAUAGGCCAUUGGCCUAAUCCAGCAAGCUCUUCUCCUGUUGGCAAGUGAGAGUGGGUAGGAGAGAGGUACAAAUUUGUGUUGGCUAAGCAAUUAGCUGAUCUAUUUCCUAGUUUGGGGUGGGCAACUUGGUUCAUCUCCCAUCCAAUGCGAGCUUUGGGUGUGGGGAGAAAGGUGAAUAUUCCUAGCCGAGCCAAGAUAACCCCCUGCAAAUACACACAUGCUAAAACCUGUACUGGCAUAAAUCAGCCUGCCUUCCUUUCUUUUUUUCCUUCCCCAAAGUGUGUUUGAGAACAAAUCUUGUACCUUCACCUUGCAUCUGGAGAAAUCAUGAUGAUGACUAGGUUCCACUCGACAAUAAAAAUGUUUCCUCCUGCACUUUAUGCUGCCUUUUAUAGCAUCAUUUAGAAGUGACACAGCAUGUCAAAACAAAAGCACACGAUGAAAUAUGAAGCCUCCAGACAUGGAGGCACAAUGGAUGUCCCACUACAUGCCAUCUUCCAAAUGAUAUUUUCAGUUAUUCAGAGCCACAAUGACUUUAGACAGGUACAAUAAUGCACAGAAAGAAAACAGCUGAGAUGCAACAAAGUAGAAAAAAAAUCCCCUAAGUCAAAGCUAAAAAUACUUAGCUAUUCGUUUUAAGGUGUCUGCCAUUUUAUUUUUGCCAUAUUGUCCCAAUCCAAUUCCUAACACAGAGGAAGUAAGAGGAGGAAGAAAGGAAGGAAGGAAGGAAGGAAGGAAGGAAGGAAGGAAGGAAGGGAGCUUCAUUUGUGAAAACAUGAUUUUGGGGGGCACUAGCUGCUUUGGUCUGCAUUUGAAACAGUUUCUCCUCCUGGGAAUAUGAUCCUAGCCAAUCAGAGAACACAAAGUAAACGUGAAACUGCCACAGUGCAUUAUAUUCUGUCAUAUUCGACGAUGUGAUGACAUCACAAAGCCAGUUCAGAGUGAGAGGUGUCAUGGCCCCAGAAAUGGGAUCCUCAGAAGCAGAGUCCUCCUCCAUUGACAGCCCCAAGGAGGAGAUGGAUCCAUUCCAUGGUCCAUCCAAUAAGGAGCUGUGAUCACCAGAGCUCACUGUUCCUCCUCUGAAACUCAAGGAGGCAGCUCUGCCAUUAAAUGCCAAUCACUGAUCCACAGACUCCUCAGUGGGUUAGUGGAGCCCUGAGCAGAUAUCCCCACACCUUGCAAUCCCAGGGCCCAGAAGAAUCCAACAGCUGCAGAGGAAGACCCUGGCCAAAGGCACCAUUCAAGGUGAUGGCCUUUACUCAAUAAAACCUGGCCCAGCCUUAUAAAGAUGUGCUAAUGAGUUAUAUCCACGUGGAACACACAUGCACACGAACCUGAAACUUGCCCCUCUUUUUUGUUAAAAAUUGAAUGCCUUUAUAGUGAGAAUCAAAGGUAUUUCAGGGCAUAUGAAUCUUUUAACGUGAUAUAAAACUAGUCAGAAAUAAGAAGAAGCUGAAAAUGAAAAGAAAGAAAGAAAGAAAGAAAGAAAGAAAGAAAGAAAGAAACCCAAGGGAGAUGAGAAAGCUAUAUAAAAUCAAAUCUCUAAAUUUUCAGCUGUAAUAGUACGGAAGAAGUAGCCUAUUUUUGCAACAUAAUUUGCCAGGAAACAGGUCCCAAUAAUAUGAACCCAACAGGAGUGGUUUAAUCCUAUUAAGCUUGUUUUCCUCAUUUGUAGCAGCAGCAGCAGCAAACACAACCAUGAGCCUGUGUCAUUAAAGUUCCCCAGUUGCCUUCUGAGCUCAAAUCUUCACAUAUUUUGCCAUUAAGGACCACAGAGAAGGCUCACAGGAGACCGCUCACAGGAGUCUUCCGCUUCUUCCUACUUUCUCUCUCUCUCCCUCUCCCUUUCCUGAUGUCCUCAUAAGGCUGAAUAUGAAAUUAGACAUAUCGUUCAGAAGCAAACCUUGCACAUAAUGAGCCCAUAAGUAAUAGGCAUCAACCGUGAAGGCACCUUUGAGGGAAAUCCGCAAAACUUAGAUGGUGACGAGAGUUUUAGCUUACAAAGUCAAGCUGGCUCUCUUAAAGCACCAUACUAUACACAUACCCGUCAACCUUUAUCUGAUGAAAAUAGGGGAUGUCAAUAAUAAUAAUAAAUAAUUUUAUUCUUUAUACCCCACCCAUCUGAGUGGGUUGCCCACUCUGGGCGGCUUCCAACAUAUAUAAAAACGUAAUACAACAUUAAACAUUUAAAUGCUUCCCUAUACAGGACUGCCUUCAUAUGUCUUCUAAAGGUUGUAUAGGUACAGAUCUCCUUGGCUCAGGGACCACAAAGCUCCACACCCUUCAACAUUUCUCCAAUGAAAAUAGGGAUGUCCUAAGGAAAAGCAAGGGUGCGGGUGGCACUGUGGUCUAAACCACAGAGCCUGGGGCUUGCCGAUCAGAAGGUUGGCGGUUCAAAUCCCCACAACGGGGUGAGCUCCCAUUGCUCUGUCCCAGCUCCUGCCCACCUUGCAGUUCGAAAGCACAUCAAAGUGCAAGUAGAUAAAUAGCGGGAAGGUAAACGGCGUUUCCGUGCACUGCUCUGGUUCACCAGAAGCAACUUAGUCAUUUUGGCCACAUGACCCAGAAGCUGUCUGCGGACAAAUGCCGGCUCCCUUGGCCUAUAGAGUGAGGUGAGUGCCGCAACCCCAGAGUCAUCCGCGACUGGACCUAACAGUCAGGGGUACCUUUACCUUUAAAAAAAAGCAGGACAUUCCAGGUUGACAGCUUCUGUAAAUCUGGGACUGUCCCUGGAAAAUAGGGACACUUGGACGGUCUGCUAGACAUGUGCCCUCAAAUGUAAGUUCCACUGAUUUCAAUGAGCCUUAGUCUAAUGUAAGUGGAUAUAGACCAUUGAAUUCAAGACUACAGUGGUACCUCUGGUUGCAAAUGGGAUCUGUUCCGGAGGCCCGUUGGCAACAUGAGCAAAAGCAACCCGCAUCUGCGCUUGCGCAGGUCGCGAUUCGCCGCUUCUGCACAUGCGCGUGACGUCAUUUUGCGCAUCUGCUCAUGCGCGAGCGGCGGAACCCGGAAGUUACCCUUUCCGGUACUUCCGGGUCGCCGUGGGACACAACCUGAAAAUGUUCAACCUGAAGCAAACGUAACAUGAGGUAUGACUGUACUUCAUGAGAAACACAAAACUUACCAACCUAGGAGGUCAAGUGACAGGAUGACACAGGCAGCACAAGAUGGAGGCUUCCUCCAUCAAGUCAUGCAGCUUUAUGAUCAGACAGCCUCAGCGGGAGAGCUUAGAGGCAGGGCUUACUUCACUGGCUCUCCUGUGACAGACUAGCCCCAUCAGGCCUCCUCUCUCCUCAGCAGGGAACUUUUCUAUUUGGUUGAGCCAUCAGAAAUGUAAUGUUUUAACCGCUGCCUGAAGCAGCAAAGUCCAACAAGCACUGGACCAGACAGUUCUCUCCAUCACGUUGCUCAGCUCUCGCUUUUGUCUUCCUCUUUUAGCAACUUUGGUACACGAGACAUUUGCUCAUUCUGAGAGGGAAAAGCAGAGGAAAGUUUGGGAUUUAUGACUCAGUAACUUCUGUCUCCCUGGCAAAUUUAUGAUCGGAUGAAACCUAUUUGUUAUUACUCAUUGUCAAAAAGAGAGAGAGGGAGAUGGAGGGGAAAGACAUGAAACCAGAUGUUAUUCUCAAAACUAUAAGCAACUGUAGAUUUUCCAGGCUGUCACUCGGAGGAAUUUUGAAGCCUUUUCUAUAUCCAUCACAAAUGUUGGCACAUUCUGCCAUCACCAAUGGAGAUGGCAAUUAAGUGUUAACUAAACGGAGAAGCAUUCACUUCCUCUUGCUGAUGCAUAAUUUAAGCCAUUAGAAACGAAGAUUGUCAUUACCCAAUUUUUAAACAAAAAGGCUUGCUCAGGCUGACAGGUUUCGCUCGGUAAAUUAGCCUGAGGUUUAUCUUUGUCACUCUAGCCCUCGUGUAAUCGUGACAGUGUGUCCCAGCUGCCAACUGAUACAAUUAGAUUAGUUUUAGGAAUCCUGAUUAUUUUUAGCAGACUUUUGUGCAUUAUCACUGUCAUCAUCAUGCAUUUUGCAUAGCAAAGUUCCAAGUCCCCAUCUAAUGCUCCUUUUCCUUCCGCAGCAACGUUGUUGCCAUGGGAGAGAAGAGGUCCAGCAUGAGACACAACUUAAGCCAGGGAUGGGGAACCUGUGCUGCACUGGACAUUGGACUCCAACUCUCAUCUGCUCUAGCCAGCAGGGCCAAGGUUCAGGGGUGAUGGGAUAUGUAGUCCAACAUCAUCUAGAGCAGCGGUUCUCAACCUGUGGGUCCCCAGAUGUUGUUGGACUACAACUCCCAUCAUCCCUGAGCUCUGGCCUUGCUAGCUAGGGAUGAUGGGAGUUGUGGUCCAACAACAUCUGGGGACCCACAGGUUGAGAACUGCUGAUCUAGAGGAUCGGGGGAGGGGGGAAUCAGAAUACAGAAACAUCUUGGAGGUCCCAGGCCACAGAGAGGUUAGGCUGGCCUCAACCAGAGCCAGGGCUUUUUCGGCUGUGGCUCCGAUCUGGUGGAAUGCUCUGUCACAAGAGACUAGGGCCCUGCGGGACUUGACAUCUUUCCACAGGGCCUGCAAGACAGAGCUAUUCCACCAGGCCUUUGGCCAGGGCACAGCCUGACUCCCUCCUUUGGCAAUCCUCACAGAACUCUAGCCCUAUG